UGGUAGCAUAUCAUAAUUUUGUGAUCCGUGGCCGCUUCUGUGACCUGAGUGCGCGUUUCAUUAUAUAACAACAACGAAAAGAAAAAUGGAUAAAAUUUGACUUCAUUCUCUGUUGCUAUGGAUCUUCAGCUCCAAUAUUUCGCUCGCUUACUGCAAUCUCUUAACACCCACCGUUCAAUCCACCUAGGAAAACAGCUCCACCUUCUCUUCUUCAAAAAGGGUUUCAUAAAUUCCAAUCUUUCACUGGCAAAUCGCCUUCUGCAGAUGUACGCCCGGUGUGGCUGCAUGGGCGAUGCACAUAACUUGUUCUAUGAAAUGCGCCAUAGAAACUACUUUUCUUGGAACACCAUGAUAGAGGGCUACAUGAAGUUUGGAAACAAAGAAAAUUCGCUAGAGCUGUUUGAUUUGAUGCCCCACAAAGAUGAUUAUUCGUGGAAUGUGGUCAUUUCGGGGUUUGUGAAAGCUUGUGAGUUCGACAUUGCUAGGAGGUUGUUUAAUGAGAUGCCUAGGAGAAAUGGGUUUGCGUGGAAUUCGAUGAUUCAUGGUUAUGCUCGGAAUGGGUAUUCAAGAGAAGCUGUUAGGCUGUUUAAGGAUUUGAAUUUGAGACCGUCGGAAAAAUCAUGUGGUGAUACGUUUGUAUUCGCUACUGUUAUUGGUGCUUGUACUGAUUUGGAAGCUAUCGAAUGUGGUAAGCAAAUCCAUGCCCGGAUUCUAAUUGAUGACAUGGAAUUUGACUCAGUAUUGGCUAGUUCACUGAUUAAUUUUUAUGGAAAGUGCGGUGAUUUAGAUAGUGCAAAUUAUGUUUUGAAUAUGAUGAAGGAGGUGGAUGACUUUUCUUUGUCAGCUCUCAUCACUGGCUAUGCAAAUUAUGGUAGAAUGAAUGAUGCUAGAAGAAUAUUUGAUAGAAAAAGUAAUCCAUGUAUUGUGGUAUGGAAUUCAUUGAUUUCUGGAUAUGUUAACAAUAAUGAAGAAAUGAAAGCAUUUGCACUCUUCAAUGAGAUGCAGAAAAAUGGAAUUCGGGUAGACUCCUCCACAAUAGCAAUUAUCUUGAGUUCCUGCAAUACCCUUGGGAAUUCACAACACGGUAAACAAAUGCAUGCCUAUGCUUGUAAAGUUGGAUUAGUUGAUGACAUUAUUGUUGCUUCUGCUUUUAUUGAUGCAUAUUCCAAGUGUGGAAGUCCUCAUGAUGCUUGCAAGUUAUUCAGUGAGCUCAAAGCCAAUGAUACAAUCUUACUCAACUCUAUGAUCACAGUGUACAGCAAUUGUGGUAGAAUUGAAGAUGCAAAACAGAUCUUUAAAACAAUGCCAAGUAAAAGCCUGAUAUCAUGGAAUUCAAUGGUUGUUGGUCUUGCCCAAAAUGGUUGUGCAGUUGAAGCAUUGGAUCUUUUUUGCAAAAUGAAUAAACUGGAUUUGAGGAUUGAGAAGUUUAGCCUUGCUAGUGUGAUCAGUGCCUGUGCUGGUAUGCCUUCACUUGAACUGGGUGAACAGGUUUUUGCAAGGGCAAUUAUCGUUGGGCUUGAAUCUGAUCAGGUUGUUUCCACCUCCCUUGUUGAUUAUUACUGCAAAUGUGGUUUGGUUGAAAAUGGAAGAAAGCUAUUUGAUACAAUCAUCAAAUCUGAUGAAGUCUCUUGGAAUUCAAUGUUGAUGGGAUAUGCUACAAAUGGUUAUGGAUUGGAAGCACUAACACUGUUCAAUAAAAUGAAGCAUGCUGGUGUGAAACCAACUGAUAUUACAUUUACUGCGGUUUUAUCUGCCUGUAACCAUUGUGGCUUGGUUGAGGAGGGACAGAAAUGGUUUAAGAUUAUGAAAUAUGACUAUCACAUUGAUCCAGGAAUUGAGCACUAUUCAUGCAUGAUUGAUCUUUUUGCUCGUGCUGGUUACCUUCAGGAAGCAAAUAAUCUUAUUGAGAAUAUGCCCUUUGUUGCAGAUGCCAGCAUGUGGUCAUCUUUGUUGAGGGGUUGUGUGGCUCAUGGAGAUAAGGAACUUGGAGAAAAGGUGGCACGGCGAAUCAUUGUGCUUGAUCCUGAGAGCUCCAAUGCAUAUGUGCAACUAUCUGGCUUAUUUGCUACCUCUGGGGACUGGGAAAGCUCAGCCCUUGUUAGAAAGGUAAUGAUAGAAAAGCAAGUAAAAAAGCAUCCUGGUUUCAGUUGGGCUGAUUGAACAAGAUAUUUGGAAGGUGAGCAAUUACAGGACUUGGAUCUUCAUGAGGAGAAAUCAUGUUUUUCCUUCCAGUUUUUGCUGAUAUCUCUAUGGGUUUGAUCACAGUCCAUCAAAUUUAAAUUUCAAGAGAUUAUGCCAUUUUUGGGUACACAUAGUUCUGCAGUUGCUCCUUCAUCAUGUCAAGAUUCCUCAACAAAGCUUGGUAUUAUGAUGCAGACCUCUUAAUUCUCCUUCCUCCCUCGUGCCUUUUUUUCCUCCUUUUUUACCUGUGUUUAUGUUACUCCUAUGUAUGCAUGUUUAAGGUAUUGCAUUUGGGGACAAGUGGGGCUUUCUUUCAGUGAUUAGGUACAUCCGAGAAUUCCGAAUGAUAGCUUACUACUUUAGGCUAAUUGGAGAUUCUACCGUCCUUCCAACCAUUGAGUAAUGUUUAUAUUCAGUGGUUGAACAACUUCACUAUUUUAGGUUUCAUGUGAUGAAACUCCUUAUGCUUUUUGUCAUGUCAGGAGUAGUUGAAUCUCCUGUCCGCCAUCUCAUGUGGGUUGUGCCUGGUAUUCUUUUUGUUAUUAGGAGAAUAGAAAUGGUAUCUGAUCACAACUACUUUAGUUGGCAGUAGGAACUCUCAAAUCGGACUACUCAUGUCUAUUCAGAUUGGAAAAGUAUGACACGUGUAUGCAUCUUGAAGGCCGCUUUAUUUUGGACCAUAUCACCAUGAUUAUGGGGUUGACUCACGAUGGUAGAGUACUUGAAACCCUGGACUUUUUUAAGGACCCGCUAAGUAGAGGCCCACCAGCCAAUCGAAUAACACUAGCUGGGGUUUUAUAGCUUGCAGCUAUGGGGGUUUUUGUUGAAUGAAAGACUAUAUUUUCAUCAAUGCAAGAAAGCUUUGGAGUUGCUUCUGGCAUUGAACAUUAUGCUUGCAUUGUGGACUUUAUGUGUCAUGCUCAUAGGCUUGAUGAAGCAAUGAAUAUAACAGAAGCAAUUCCUUAUGAACCCAAUACUUUAAUUUGGAGAUCGAUACUUUAUGCUUGUGCAACUCAUCUCUACCUUACUUGGUAUUGGCUUGGAUAUACGAGACAAGGGGCCAAUGGGAAGGCAUGGCUAAAGUCAAUAAAACCAUGAAAAGGAAAAAGGUGAAGACAGUGAUCGGAUACAGUUGGAUUGGAUUAAAAAAUCAUGUAUGCUUUCAGGGCCGACGAGUUACAACAUCAUGGAGGCCAAGACAUUUUUAUCUCAUUAAGAUUGCUGAAUUGGGAAAUAGCAUUAUAAAGUGAGUGUUGAGGAGAGUACUCUUCCAUGGUGUUUUAUAAGAUUAUGGAAUGGCAGAUAAUACACGUUCAUCAUAUAGAAUUGUGUGCCUCCGCCAUCUUACUUAACUACUAGCUCAAGAUCAAUUCUUUUGGAUUUCUGGUAUUAAUUAAACUUGCAGUCGCUGCAGUAAUCUAUUACCUGUUGGCAUUUUGUUGGAUGCAAGAUAAAACCAAUACCUGUAAUUACAUGAUAUUGUUGUGUCCUAACUGAUCUCAAUGAUUCAUUUCUGCACAGGUAUUACUGCCAAUUCCUUUUUUGGUAAUUUAGUUUGAUUUAUGUGAAUCACAGAUUAAACUUGAUUGUUGUCCUGAUAAUGAUCUUCUAACGCAUCAUUAACUGUGGGUUUGGAAAACUUGAUAGUGACAGCUCUUCAGGAACUGCUUUGUUUUCUGCCAGAUUGCUUCAAUUCCAAAAUGCUUUCAUCGGUGAAACCUGGAAUGAACCAGAAUCUACUUACUGGUCAAAUUCAUAUAAAGGCCAGGAUUUGGCAUAUUUCAACUGCUGGAUUUUCAAUUCAAUUGCAGGCUUAUCUGAUAUUAAUAUCAGUCCCAACAAGAAAAUUUCACAGAUUUUAGUUUUAGGAGAAUUAUAUUGAGUGCCUCAAAUUCCUUCCUGAGAAUUCUGUUGGACCACAUUUGAUGGCUGUCAGCGUCUUCGCUUUGAGGCUAGUAAGAUUGUUUGGAAUGUUUUCCCUACCCAAUUAUUUUUCCCUGAAGUGUCGAUAAAAUAGAUUACUACUCAAUGUUCAUUGAUCUUAAAACAUGGAUAUGCACAUAUAAAUUAUUUUAAAAGGGA